rnacentral:rRNA from 1 species
CCUGGCUCAGAUUGAACGCUGGCGGCAUGCCUUACACAUGCAAGUCGAACGGCAGCACGGAGCUUGCUCUGGUGGCGAGUGGCGAACGGGUGAGUAAUAUAUCGGAACGUACCCUAGAGUGGGGGAUAACGUAGCGAAAGUUACGCUAAUACCGCAUACGAUCUAAGGAUGAAAGUGGGGGAUCGCAAGACCUCAUGCUCGUGGAGCGGCCGAUAUCUGAUUAGCUAGUUGGUAGGGUAAAAGCCUACCAAGGCAUCGAUCAGUAGCUGGUCUGAGAGGACGACCAGCCACACUGGAACUGAGACACGGUCCAGACUCCUACGGGAGGCAGCAGUGGGGAAUUUUGG